GAUGAACGCUGGCGGCGUGCUUAACACAUGCAAGUCGAACGGAAAGGCCCGAGCUUGCUUGGGUACUCGAGUGGCGAACGGGUGAGUAACACGUGGGUGAUCUGCCCUGCACUUCGGGAUAAGCCUGGGAAACUGGGUCUAAUACCGGAUAGGACCACAUUUUGGAUGGUGUGGUGGAAAGUUUUUCGGUGUGGGAUGAGCUCGCGGCCUAUCAGCUUGUUGGUGGGGUAAUGGCCUACCAAGGCGUCGACGGGUAGCCGGCCUGAGAGGGUGUACGGCCACAUUGGGACUGAGAUACGGCCCAGACUCCUACGGGAGGCAGCAGUGGGGAAUAUUGCACAAUGGGCGCAAGCCUGAUGCAGCGACGCCGCGUGGGGGAUGACGGCCUUCGGGUUGUAAACGCCUUUCGCUAGGGACGAAGCGUUAUGUGACGGUACCUGGAGAAGAAGCACCGGCUAACUACGUG
rnacentral:rRNA from 1 species